GAUGAACGCUGGCGGCGUGCCUAAUACAUGCAAGUCGAGCGAACGGACGAGAAGCUUGCUUCUCUGAUGUUAGCGGCGGACGGGUGAGUAACACGUGGAUAACCUACCUAUAAGACUGGGAUAAAUUCGGGAAACCGGAGCUAAUACCGGAUGAUAUUUUGAACCGCAUGGUUCAAAAGUGAAAGACGGUCUUGCUGUCACUUAUAGCUGGAUCCGCGCUGCAUUAGCUAGUUGGUAAGGUAACGGCUUACCAAGGCAACGAUGCAUAGCCGACCUGAGAGGGUGAUCGGCCACACUGGAACUGAGACACGGUCCAGACUCCUACGGGAGGCAGCAGUAGGGAAUCUUCCGCAAUGGGCGAAAGCCUGACGGAGCAACGCCGCGUGAGUGAUGAAGGUCUUCGGAUCGUAAAACUCUGUUAUUAGGGAAGAACAUAUGUGUAAGUAACUGUGCACAUCUUGACGGUACCUAAUCAGAAAGCCACGGCUAACUACGUG
rnacentral:rRNA from 1 species